rnacentral:rRNA from 1 species
UACGUAGGUGACAAGCGUUGUCCGGAUUUACUGGGCGUAAAGAGCGCGCAGGCGGUCGAUCAAGUCGAGUGUGAAAGCCCCCGGCUCAACUGGGGAGUGUCGUGCGAUACGGUCGGACUGGAGGCCAGUAGGGGGAUGCGGAAUUCCGGGUGUAGUGGUGGAAUGCGUAGAGAUCCGGAGGAACACCAGCGGCGAAGGCGGCAUCCUGGACUGGUCCUGACACUCAUGAGCGAAAGCGUGGGGAGCGAUCCGG